CUUUGAUCAUCCAAACUUGAUUGCUCCAGUAACGUUGCAUGAACCAGCAAUCAGCGUAGAAUGUCGCUCGACUAUCUCGCCAAAUGCUUAAAUAUGGCAGGGAAUAGCAUUAUUUGGAUAAAGUGAUUUAUUCAAAUAAUUCUAUUCCACCUAUAUGAUUGAAUAAAAUUAUUGAAUGAAAAAGGGGGAAUUUAUUCCUUCCUGUUGUGGAUGGGCAUCGGGGGCUUCGAGCCCGAAAGUCCCAUACCGGAAGUUUACAAAAGAGGCUACUGCUUAAGUAUUGCCAGCCUCCCUCUCCCACGUGAGGCGCCU
rnacentral:lncRNA from 1 species